GAUGAACGCUAGCGGCAGGCUUAACACAUGCAAGUCGAGGGGUAUAGUAGCAAUACUAGAGACCGGCGCACGGGUGCGUAACGCGUAUGCAACCUACCUUUUACAGAGGGAUAGCCCAGAGAAAUUUGGAUUAAUACCUCAUAGUGUUAUUAGAUGGCAUCAUUUGAUAACUAAAGUUCCAACGGUAAAAGAUGGGCAUGCGUCCUAUUAGCUAGAUGGUAAGGUAACGGCUUACCAUGGCUACGAUAGGUAGGGGUCCUGAGAGGGAGAUCCCCCACACUGGUACUGAGACACGGACCAGACUCCUACGGGAGGCAGCAGUGAGGAAUAUUGGACAAUGGGCGCAAGCCUGAUCCAGCCAUGCCGCGUGCAGGAAGAAGCAUCUAUGGUGUGUAAAACUGCUUUUGUACGGGAAGAAACACUCCUACGUGUAGGAGCUUGACGGUACCGUAAGAAUAAGGAUCGGCUAACUCCGUGCCAGCAGCCGCGGUAAU
rnacentral:rRNA from 1 species